rnacentral:rRNA from 1 species
CGUGCAGGCGGUCUUCUAAGUUCCGUGUGAAAUCCCCCGGCUUAACUGGGGAACUGCGCGGAAAACUGGAAGACUUGAAUACGGGAGAAGAGGGCGGAAUUCCCAGUGUAGAGGUGAAAUUCGUAGAGAUUGGGAGGAACACCGGUGGCGAAAGCGGCUCUCUAGACCGAUAUUGACGCUCAUACGCGAGAGCGUGGGUAGCAAACA